AGCCAAACUCUAGCCCAAUUACAUUAACCUAAAAUCCCAAAGACAUUCCCGCCACUAAAACAAAGCAUUUGCUAGUCCCAGUAUAGGCGAUAGAAAAGACACCUUGGAGCGAUAGAGAUCACGUACCGUAAGGGAAAGAUGAAAUAGAAAUGAAACCUAAGCCAAAAAUAGCAAAGAUCAACCCUUGUACCUUUUGCAUCAUGGUCUAGCAAGAAAAACCAAGCAAAGAGAACUUAAGUUUGCCAUCCCGAAACCCAAGCGAGCUACUUACGAGCAGCUAUUCCUGAGCGAACCCGUCUCUGUUGCAAAAGAGUGGGAUGACUUGUUAGUAGAGGUGAAAAGCCAAUCGAGCUGGGUGAUAGCUGGUUGCCUGUGAAAUGAACCUAAGUUCACUCUUGGCUCUUCUCCAAGGACACUCAACAGAACCCUAAUGAAGCGAGCCAGGGGAUAUUUAAAGGGGGUACAGCUCCUUUAAAAAAGAAUACAUUCUCGACCAGCGGAUAAACAGGAAAUCUAGAAUACCUUCUUGUGGGCCCUUAAGCAGCCAUCAAUAGAGAGUGCGUUAAAGCUCUUCCUCUCAAAAAUACCAAAACUUUGUGAAUCCCUCAUCACUAACGGGCUAACCUAUGUUUCAAUAGGAGAAUCUAUGCUAGAAUGAGUAACUAGGGAACUUCCCUCUUCGACGCAAGCUUACAUCUUCACAUUAUUAACAAAUACACAAGAUACGAAAAUUCCCACAAGCACAGUAUCAGUCACUUUGUUAACCCGACAGAGGAGCGUCUGCUAAGAAAGAUUAAAAUCCGUAAAAGGAACUCGGCAAAGUCAAGGCCCGACUGUUUACCAAAAACAUAGCCUUCAGCAAACCUAAUACAAGUAUUGAAGGUGAUGCCUGCCCGGUGACCUGGUGUUUAACGGCCGCGGUAUCCUAACCGUGCAAAGGUAGCGCAAUCAAUUGUCCCGUAAAUCGGGACUUGUAUGAAUGGCUAAACGAGGUCUUAACUGUCUCUUACGGACAAUCAGUGAAAUUGAUCUCCCUGUGCAAAAGCAGGGAUAAACACAUAAGACGAGAAGACCCUGUGGAACUUUAAAAUCAGCGGCCACACCAAAAUAACAUCCACACCCACAAGGGUUCACUUUCUUCUAAGUUGCUGGCCCGCAUUUUUCGGUUGGGGCGACCUUGGAGAAAAACAAAUCCUCCAAAUAUAGGACCACAAAUCCUGACUAAGAGCGACUACUCAAAGUGCUAAUAGCAACCAGACCCAAUAUAAUUGAUCAAUGGACCAAGCUACCCCAGGGAUAACAGCGCAAUCUCCUCCGAGAGUCCAUAUCGACGGGGAGGUUUACGACCUCGAUGUUGGAUCAGGACAUCCUAGUGGUGCAGAAGCUACUAAGGGUUCGUUUGUUCAACGAUUAAUAGUCCUACGUGAUCUGAGUUCAGACCGGAGUAAUCCAGGUCGGUUUCUAUCUAUGAUCUACUCUUCCCAGUACGAAAGGAGAGGAAAAGUGAGGCCAAUACUACAGGCAAGCCUUCGCCUUAAGUAAUGAAGACAACUAAAUUACGAAAGGCUCAUACACCAACCAUCAUCCUAGAAAAGGACCA
rnacentral:rRNA from 1 species